UACGUAGGGGGCAAGCGUUGUCCGGAUUUAUUGGGCGUAAAGAGCGUGUAGGCGGCCAGACAAGUCUGCUGUGAAAACUCGAGGCUCAACCUCGAGCUGUCGGCGGAAACUGUCUGGCUAGAGUCCGGAAGAGGAGAGUGGAAUUCCUGGUGUAGCGGUGAAAUGCGCAGAUAUCAGGAAGAACACCUAUGGCGAAGGCGGUUGCCUGGAGCUUUGCUGACGCUGAUGCGCGAAAGCGUGGGGAGCGAUCCGG
rnacentral:rRNA from 1 species